UAGACGACGAGGUUGAUAGGUUCGAGGUGGAAGUGCAGCAAUGCAUGCAGCUGACGAAUACUAAUCGGUCGAGGGCUUAUCCUA
rnacentral:rRNA from 1 species